GCGGGGUCAGGGGUCAGGGGUGGGGGCCCCCGUCUUACCCCGCCGUGUUGGGGUGCCCCUGUCCGAGUCUCUAAUACUGCCGGGUAACGACGGAGGCCCCUUCCCAGUGGCUGCACCCUGACGU
rnacentral:pre_miRNA from 13 species